UCAUUUUACCUAAUGAUAGGUUGUCUUGGCAAACUAGAUCGGUGUAACGACCAUAGAAUUUGCGAAAUGCUGACUUUAACCGAGACUGCUGGAAUACCUGUACCAUCAACUUGUUUGUCAAUAGCCUCCUUCGAUUCAAAAACUGACUAUACGCAGAACAAGCUUGUCUCGAUUUAAAAACUGACUUAAUAUACGCAGAACAAGCUCUUGCGUAUCGAAUCAGUUGAGAGAUAUAAACACCAUCUGCAGGUGAUAAUGGAAUAUUGCUACAUAAAUAUGACAGGUUGACGAUGGAGAAGCUGAAAUCAUCCCGUUUGUCAUAAAGUUGAGUUAUUAGUUUGCCGUUAGUAUCUACUUCAAUAAAGUAUCUAAGUAUGAAGCAGAAGUGGACGACUCUGUGGUGUCUUAUUUCGAAUUCACUGGGAUAUAUCGAAUCGACAUAUGAAUGAAAAGUAUUAUUGUUUAUAGAUAAUACAUCGUCGAUAAAUCUAAAUGUGGAAUUGAAGACCACAACAAGAGAUAUUUCGAAUAAAUUCUGCUUCAUGGGAAUGUAAAAACAGGUCAGCUAACAAAGGAGCACAACUCGUACCCAUUGGAAUUCCAACAGAUUGUUGGAAGACCUGAUCACCAAAGACUACGAUGAUAUUGUCAAUGAGAGACUCCAGUAUAUUUUUUUUUUCAAGUUCAGAGUACUUGUGCGUUGAUUCAGAGUGGCGUUUUACAAAGUAAUUUUUUGGAUGACUGAUCACUAGAUAGGAAUAUUUACGGGUUUUUUGUUGUUGAACUAGCUACUGUCUAUGAUGUCAAAAAGUCUAGUCUUUAAUUUUUCACGAGGAAUGGUCGUGUAAAGUGUUGAAAACUUACCAUAAAUCUGGUUAUUUUUGCUGUCGAUUUAGCGUUUUUGCGAGUCAGUUGGAUUACCAAAAAUACUUUUCUCAAAAAGAAUGUUUCACACGUUUUUUGACAUGUUCUUACAUAAAUUCGCAAAAAUAAGAAACACAAAAAUUAAUUUGUAGACUUUUAACUCAAAUUCGCAAAAAUAAAUCGAUGCAAAAUUAUCCAGAUUUACGGUAUACAUUUUGAUGUUGUUGAUUUGAGAAAAGUUUUGCGAUUUUAAGUUUACUAAAAGUACUUUAGAAUUUCGUAGAAUCCACAUUUGAUUUACAUCACUUUCGGCAUAAUUAUGUAGUCGCACAGUACGUUUGAGGUUUCUCCUUCACAGCUUUUAAUAUUUUCGUGACGAGCAGAGAUAGAGGCUCGGUAGAUCAUUUACUGGGUCCAGAAUGUAUCCUUGUUUGUAGGGGUUUUUAUGAAGUUUAGAAAUACAGUAAAGAUACGAUAACUGAUAUUCAUCCGACCCAUUGACUGGGAUAUUAAAUGUGUCGAAAACUGAAGCAUGGUUUUGAAGAAUUUCGUCUUUUGAAAGGGCAGUUGAAGUAUAAGUACGAUUACCAAUAGUGGAAUUAAUUCGUUUUAAAAGCAGUUGUAAUAAUGAGCGUUACAAACAAAAACAAUGUUAUUACGAGCUUUGUCAGCUGGAACCAAAACAUAUUCUCAUGUAAUCUAUCUAAUUCUUUUAUCACUUCUGGUCUACUGAACACCGAAGAAUAGAUGAUACGUACGUUUGUUUUAAUGUCUAAUGCGGGAUUUUAAUAUUCCUCUUAUACUUUUAAUCCAUUCUGACAAUGUAUCAAGUUCUUUUUCAAAUUUAGCCCAUCGUCUGGCAUAAUCUUCGAUACAAUUCAUAAUAGAAAUGAAGUUCUAUCACCAAUUGAAAGACCGAGGUUCUCCGUAUUUAGGACAUUUUAGAAUAAGUGAUUUGAGGUCCUCAUUUUCAACUAUAUCAACAUCACCAGUAAUGACAUGUCCAGCUGGACUAUAUAUCAACAUCACCAUAAUGACAUGUCCAGCUGGACUAUAGUUGAAAGAAGAUGAACAACAAGAACACGUGAGUGGAUUAAGUAUAAGAUUGUCUAUAUCUAGGCACUGUAAAGUUUGUUUAUAAUUAAAAAGUUUGGAUGCUAUAGUAGAAGUAUAUUUGUAGGAAAUACAGGGUGUAGACUUCAAUUUGAAAUAAGUUGAAAUACACGACUGAACUCUUUUAUGACGAAGAAUGUUGCUUAUGUUGACGGCAUCUUUUCCUUUGUUUGUAAAUUUGAGCUUAAAGAACUGGCGGCAUGAUUUGGAAGGAAUAUCAUCCAUGACCCGUAGUGGUUUAAAGAGCCUGGGAUUGGAACAUCCAUAAACAUAGAGGUCAAUCUAUAUUCAGGUAUUGAAAAAUCGAAGUAUAGACUAGCUGUGUUUUCUUGAAAUAACGUAUGUAAAACUCUCAAUGGAACAGAGUAAAGUUUUGUGCGAAUAUGAUGUGGACCUAAUUGUUUGUUGACGUAAGGUAAAAGCGAAUCAAACGUGGCAUCAUUUAUACUUAGUCUUUGAUAUGAACGGUGUCCAUGAUUGCGUCUCCGUCUUUGAAUAUUGGGAAAGAGUCCCAUCACAUUCACGUUAAUUGCUUGUGGACUAGCUAAAUUUCCUAGAUCAUAUACAUUAUCAUUGCAUCCAUACGAAAAUUCAGUACGUAGAGUUCCGAUCCAGUGAUCUUCUCGUUGUCUACGAAAAGGGGUACUUAAUAUUGAACUAUUUGUGUGAUGUUAAUUUUUUUCUUCCAAAAUCCAGACCUUCAUGGACAAGAUGGAGUUGUCCGGUGAAUUCAAAUGCUUGUAAAGAAGUUGGUUACCACCAUUAUUUAUUUGAAAUCUGUGCCCCGAUAUUCUUUUAUGAAGUGAACUCUUAGUUUCUCCCACAUAAAUUAAGUCACAUAGGUUACACUCAAUAGCGUAGACAACGUUAGAAGAUUUACAAGUCAAAUUAUGAAAAGUUUUGGUACAGAAACUACGCCCGGUGAGAUUACUAUUAAUUGAAUUUCUAGUGAUCAGUAUAACACAAAUUUUACAUUUUUACGGAACAUUUUGAGCACAUGAGAACUGAAAAGGAAUUAUCAAAAACUUUUCUUUAAAGGAACAUGACAAUCUUUAAUUUCGGUAUACGAAUUUUGUUUUUUGUACCAAAGCUGAUUAUUAUUUGAUUGUACAUACAACAAAUCUUUUAUAUCUCGAAGGAUAAUCCGAGGGACAUGAACCAAACUAUUGGAGCCUGUGCCCCUUAUAGACUCCACAGAAUGACACCUUUUUAUACUGGGCGACGUGUCAGCCAUUAUUGUAUCGUUAUUGUUAGUAUUCACGAAAGAACAUAUAUCGAGCGACAAAUAUCCUUGGGGAUAUGCGACCUUUGGCAGAUGGUGUUAUAACAGACGUAAUAUUGUCUAAUCCAUUUGAUUAGCUUUGAUUGCUAAACAAGUAUCACGUCAUCGGAUUACUUAUAACUUUUCAUUUUGGCAUUUUUGCCGCCUUUGAGUACACUAGCCAUCAUAAGAAGAAAUGUGGACUGAGUUUUCUUAGUUUUCUAAAAUAAGGUUUGAGGGAAAAUAUUUGUGAAUAUUUCCCGGCGCGAGGACUUUAUGACAUCCAAAAUCAGUUGCCUACGUUCUUUGCACUUUUGUAAAGAGCAGUAGGACAGAGAUUCAGAUGAAGUGAAGGAAAAUUAUUAUAUUGGAACCCAGAAUCAAAUUGAUCUUCCUCUUCCUCUGCAUCAUGUCGAAGACAAGAAUACCGCCAUUUCUCUACCCCCAUCAAAACUCCGAGGAGGCAGAGAGAACCAAAGAUCCGACGUAAGUUUAAAUUACAAAUAAUUGUUAAUAUGUUAUUCUUUGUUUGGAGUGUAAUUAGGAUUUACGGGAUUUUUGCGUCUUCGUUACAGUAGACUAUAGUAGUAAAUUAGGCCAAAUUCAAAUAUAUGAGCGUUUCCUACUCCACUCCCCUAACAUUUGGUAGGUAGAUGGGUAAAAUAUUUCGUUUUAUUAAUUCUUUUAAAAUCGAAAUCGUUUUUGAUACGCUUUAAAUACAGAUAUAAAUAUUUUUCAGGUAUAAUGAGGAUCCGUGGUAGUGAAAAUGUCAGUGGCGUAGCUUCCAUUGAGGCAACCGAGGCAGCUGCCUCGGUAAAAAAAAAAACCCCACCUUUUACGUUGUUAAAAUGUCGAUAGCUUCUGGGGGGCACAGCCCCCCAGACACCCUGCCUUGGUAAUAUUCGAACCCAAGCUACGCCUAUGAAUGUAAUUCAGUGAAGCUUGAAUGCGAAACGGAAAACAUUCCAGUUUGAAAAUUCCAGUCAUGUAUAUCGUCAAUUCAAUACUGAGGGUUUUACAUCAAGUUCUCCAAGAAAUUAAACCUCAUAAUGAGGAACAUCUCCCUACUGACCAUGAGUAUGCAGACCCUUUCCUUCUGCCUGAACUGAGCAGAUAGAGGCACUACCAGCUGAUGAGGACACGUUUGCCAUCUCUUCAGACCAGAUGGAGAAACAAUACCAAACAUCAAUGUGACCCCCACAGAGGACAUGUGUGAUACAUGACAAGGGAAUAAGUACUGUGUCCACCAAAACUCAGUGUUCCAGUCUCUGCAACAAUGUUCCAUUGACGGUCGCUGCCGGAUUAUUGUCUUGCCAUUUGCCUCAGUAACCCCCUUAAGGUGAUUGUGAAGACGACGAUGGUGACCAUGAUCCACACUUCAACAUAAAUAAGGCAGAGGAAGAUGAUGAAGACAUCCAACAUGAAUAGUGUUCCCUGAGGGCCAAUAUCCCAAAAUAAUUCCUGGUUUGAGUAAUUCAUAACAAAAUUAUUGUGCAAUUAUACAAGGGAUACCAUGAUUGUGACUGUGUCAAAAGUGUUACCAAGUUAAGGAGUGCCAUGGUCCAAUCUUCUGACAGGUGCCAUUGUGCCUGGUAUUAAGUGGCAUCAAGACUUCGUUUCUUUAGACAUCUCAAAUUACCAACAAUCGCGGCAUCUAUAUUUAACAGAAUCCAGUCUUCCUCUGUUGUGCCAACAACCUUGUUCACGUGGGACUUCCAUCAAACAGAGUUGCUGAAUCAGUAUACGGGAAGAUCCCUCAUAUUAGAAGGUGACGCAAGACACGCAUCCCCAGGCUUCUCUGCCAAGUUUAGCUCAACUAAAUGAUAAACUUUGAGAUGGGGAAGUGGUGGAUAUUCAGUUGGUUCAGAUGAAUAUGAAAGGUGAAGAUAAGAAACAAUUACCAAUCUCAUAACUCCCAUAAGCAAUAAAUAAUAGAGAGUUGGACAAACACGGAUCCUUGGACAUCCCAGAGGUGAAAUCAGGUGUCUAGAAGGAGUAAGCAUCCCCUGUCGACAGGUCACAGCUCGAUUUUCAAUAUCUGGUUGUUUAUUAAUUGUUCAACGUCAUCCUCGAGUUUUUCACUCGUAUGGAGACGUCAUCAUUACAUAUGAAGGGCUGCAAAAUUUAGGCCUAUGCUCGGUGCUUAUGGCCUUUGAGCAAGGAGAAAUCUUUAUUGUGCCACACCUGUAAUGACACAGGACCUAAGUUUUUGCGGUCUCAUCCAAAGGACCGCCCCAUUUAAUCGCUUUGUUUGACACGGGUACUGAGGACUGUUCUGACCCGGAUCCCCACGGGAUAAAAACUAUAUUGGAAAUUUCUCUGUAAAGCAAAAUAUGAUUAAUAUGAAUCAAAUGAAUAUAGUAACACUACAGAUGGAAAAGUAAGCCAUUAAGUACAUAAAGAGGGCGGAAAAGUAAAAAGAGAACAAGAUUACCGGACACCAUGAGCGUUGAUUAAUUGUCGUACGCUCUUUAGAGAAUAUUAAUAUCAAUAUGACUUACAGAGUUCAUUUUACCCAAGUUAUGUCAAACUUUCAUAUUUCAAAA